UGGGGAAUAUUGGACAAUGGGCGCAAGCCUGAUCCAGCCAUGCCGCGUGAGUGAUGAAGGCCUUAGGGUUGUAAAGCUCUUUUAGCGGGGAAGAUAAUGACGGUACCCGCAGAAAAAGCCCCGGCUAACUUCGUGCCAGCAGCCGCGGUAAUACGAAGGGGGCUAGCGUUGCUCGGAAUUACUGGGCGUAAAGCGCACGUAGGCGGACUCUUAAGUCGGUGGUGAAAUCCUGGAGCUCAACUCCAGAACUGCCUUCGAUACUGGGAGUCUUGAGUUCGGGAGAGGAGAGUGGAAUUCCUAGUGUAGGAGUGAAAUCCGUAGAUAUUAGGAGGAACACCGGUGGCGAAGGCGGCUCUCUGGACCGAUACUGACGCUGAGACGCGAAAGCGUGGGUAGCAAACA
rnacentral:rRNA from 1 species